AGCUUUCCCCCCAGUUUUCGCGAGCUUUAGCAUCUCCCCCUUCGCCUGGACUGGCUGCUCUGGAGCAGCAGCGAGCGCGAGCUGGGUGCGAAGCAGCGCCUCAAGGCCUCCCGAGCGGGGGGCCUCGGCGCCGCGCCGCCCCCAGCCCUCCGCGAGCCGCCGCCCCGGCGAACGCGCCCUGGCCGCAGCGCGGCUUGCUCUCCAGCGGAGCCGAGCGGGCUUUCCUGCGCGGCCCCCGGCGGGCCUCCGCGCCGCAGCCGGGCUCCCUCUUCCUCUAGCGUAGCGCCCCGUUGCCCAGCUUGGGCUCCCCGGGCAGCGGCAAGGGCUCGGCGCUCCGAGCCCCGCCUCCGCCCGAGGGGCCGCUCCGAGCUGGGGUCCAAAAGCUUACCGCAUCCGCUCUGCCAGGGCAGGCUGGGGCAGAGCCUUGUGCCUGGUUCCUCAGAUUGCGCGCGCGCUCGCUCUCCCGCUCUCCGGGUAGGCGCGUUGCUUUCGCUUACCGCCCUGCGAGAGGGCGUCCCCCCCGCCGA
rnacentral:rRNA from 1 species